rnacentral:lncRNA from 1 species
CCAGGAAUCAAACUCACGACCUUGCGCUGGCUGGGCAGGCGCUGUGCCACUGAGCUCAAUUCCCAGCCCCUUAAUCAUCUGAUUUUAUUAGUGUAUGUUGGCAGUUCAUGAUGUUUACAUUCAUUUUAGAGAGUGGAGCCGUGGUAGAUGCUGACAUUAUACUGUCCCUCCCCACACAAAGGAAAUUGGCUAAGAAGCUGAAUAACUUGGCUGUGGAGCUGAUAGAGUACAAAAGCCAGCUCAGUGCUUGGGAAAGGAGAAUUUCCCUGUGAGACGAGUGUGCAGAAGCCUUUCGAGGGCAGCUAACCUGGGGUGAGAGUUGGUGCUUG